UCGAUACCGAGGUGAACUAAUUGGUGGUAGAUCAUCGGAUCACGAGACAAAGCUUAACUCCAUUACUGUAGUAUAUUAACGGUAUCGAGUGAAGAGGAACUUGUGUAAACACGAUCGUGAAUAUACGUAUCGCAAAGGCGUAGAGGUGAUCAAAACAAUCUUCCAAAGGACACACGAACCUUCGACGUCAACACCUUUCCAGCGAUAUGUUUUCCGUUACACGAAAUGCGACAGUGCUGCAGUGUAUCAAAGUCUCGAAUCCAGUGUGGGUCGGUCACACCGUGGAAUGGGAGUAAGCGGUUUGAGGUGCCUUGGGCUUCAAAGUACCGGCUACCCAAGGCAGACGUGAACCCAAAGGCAUGGAUUGGUGGCCUAAUCGUCGGGUGGGUUUUUUUACGACCGUUGGGUUUAACUUUUUUCUUCCCACUUGUAUAUUUUUCAAGCUUGAACGCCUAGGCAGGUGAGAGUGCGCAGGUGUAAUCAAACCUUUCAUGCUGUCAGGUACUCGCCGUAACGGGCGUAACACGCGUUGAAGUAGUAAAACGAUCGGGGUUGUGGUUGUGUUGUUGUGUCUGUGCAUAGCGAAUAGGAUGUCGUACCUUGGGCAAUAGCGACACGCGUUUUUACUCUGUGGAUUCGAACGGGCCUGAGGGGAUGAAAAAUUCAUUAACUUGCAAAUGUCAAGGCUUGGGUGUUUUUAUUAACUUGACGAGUCAUCGGUGGCCCGUGAUCUAAAUCAGUGUUCGACGCUUCUGUUGGGUAUAAUGCUCGGAUGAUUUAAUCGAAUGUUUUCGUGUUUUGAAACGAAGCGAAGUGAGCAAACUAUGGAUUCUUGAAGUGACUCAAAGAGAUCGAAAAUAACCAGACGAUGUGGAGUAACUUGGGUAACUCUACAAACAUGAGUAAAUUAAAAUUCGGAUGAAUCAACAUCGGUCCGUUAAGUGACCACGUAACUCAAACUGAACAUGAACUGUUUAAAUCAUUCCAUGUAAAAUUGAACUAGCAAUUUAAUUAGCUUGACCUCGUGUGAGUUCAAUCGCAUUGACAUGACUUUACGUGACCUAAGCUAAUGGGUAUUAAGUGAUACUGUGAUUCAAGUUGAAUGAUUGAGUUAUAUGAUAUCUAGAGACCUGGCAAGUGGAGUUCAAUGACUUUACGCAACUUUGAGUGACUUGGAUCAAGUUUCCACGCGUAAUCACAAGUGAUUUUAAGUGACUUCAGGAUAAUUUCAAUCAACCUCGCGAGACGUUAUCAAGUGCCUGUAAGUGGAUUUGGAAGUGAUUCCAAAACGAUGACACCUUAUUAAACGAGUUAUACGUUAUUCCUGAACCGAUACAAGCGUUCGGUUAUUCGAAGUGCGGGACUAAAUAAGAAACCCUAAUCGACUCAGCUUGGUACUUGGAAUAUCGAUUCUGGCGAUUGAAACAGUUAAGGCGAUCGGAACGGGAGCGUGAAGCGGGAAUCCUUAUACCCCGAUGGUCACAGAGGUCAGCAGGGUUGAAUGGGUGAACUAGGAGAUCUGCCCCCGGCGUCCAGUGGCAGUGGGAAUAGGAGCAGUAGCAGCAGCAGCAACAGCAGCCGGUCUCCAUUCGCAGGCACCACGAUAUUGAAAUCAACGGCUGGAAGACAAAAGUUAGCGAGAGAGCGGACACCUACCACCGGCAGGGAAAUAGCGAACCGAGUACAAUGGAACGGAAUAUAAUAGCCUCGCAUAUAGACCCUCGGUUGUACACGUUGUCGCAUCAACAUCGCUCUCAAUCUCAUCCCCACCAUCUGGUCAACUGCGCAGCCGAGCCGCAAGAGGCGCUACGAUAACCUUGAAUCCUCAAUUCAGUCAGCGUGUGAGAAUUGAGGUGGUAAAGUGAUUGAACAAGAUGUCCUGGAACGAAGAGUGCUCUGUUAUGCUGGAUGAAAAUCAUCUCGGCACAGUCAUUAAUUCAACGACGAGUCGGGUUUCUUCGAGGAACGAAAAUACGAGGACAAGGCAUCGCGGAUAUUCCAACGAGACGAGAUGAAAGGUGCACAAAUUCAAACGGAUUGAACUCCUGAAAACCUCAGCGAUAUUGGCCGAGCAUUGCACUGGGUCCGCGAUUUUCGCCACGCAAGAUUCGCGGCCCGCCAAUCUGCCAAUCUGGCGUCGCUGAGUUUGCAGAACAAUUCAUGGGACGCGAACUGGUCUGAAAGUGAAUCAAGGAAGUAACUUAUGAUACAGGAAGCUUCUUUGGGAAGUAUCCUCUCAUUCUGAUCCGGCGGUAAACAUUCUACGCCAAGAAUGUCUCAUCAGUCCAACCAGGAAUAUUCAUUCUCGUCGUAUUCUCGUCGAAGGCUACAACGUCAACUAAAGGAAGCCAGUUGUGCCAGUGACGGAUUCUCGACGUUUCAUAACUGCUUCGUUCCUCUUUUCUUGGAUAAAAAUUCAUUUCAACAAAGUUCCGACACCCGCAUUCAAUGUGCACCCAUAAUAUACAAUGCAUUCUCAGGUCGAUCCCACUUCACAGAAAUCAAACUCGAAUCAAACGCGAAUAAACACCCCGGUGACAUUUUUGCAAAACGAAUGUAAAAUCAUUCUAGAAAGAAAAAAAAUCAACUUAGAUUCAAUGCAGAUGAAUUAUUUGAAAAACAGGAUAAACUAGAUCCCUGUGAUUUUGGUUUAAAAAAAAAAAUAUGGAAAAACUUUUGACGUGUAAAAUUGUGCCACAUUUUCACCUUGCGGUUAGUAGUAAAAGCAACGGUCGUAAAUAAAUUUCGUAUCAAGUCGUAACCUUGAAUCCUGGGGCCCUAAAGCAGUGCAAAUAAUCAGGUGUAAAAAGUUUUAAAAAAUGCUUUGAAUUUUGAAUGCCUUUUUCGAGAGUUCAUUUUUAAUCGUACCGUAAUAUCUGCGUUAUAUUCCCCCGCGCGCUAUCAGGCAUCGCAUUACCGCCAUCUUGACCUUGUCCUACGGAUACGUAAAUUCGCACACGCAAAUUAAAUCACGCCGCUGCGUGAAUUAUGUCGUAAUUAUUAUAUUAUACGGGUAAGAGUUCGGCAGUAUCAAGCCAAUUAAAAGUUUUGUCUAUUUAAUAUUUAUCAGUGAUUCCUGCAUAAUCCUGAAACUAACGCCGCCCGUUAUAAACCUUAUACUGCCUUCGGGAGAAAAGCGAAAUGGGGUUGGUACGGAGAGAAAAGGUGCUAACGCACGGAGGAAGAACCGACUUAUUCUAUCGAUCCUUCAAACUUUUCGAUUUAUACGAAAUAAAUCGCCCCACUGCGCGGUACGUAUUAUCAAGUUUUUUGCCCUGACAGUUGUAUGAAUAAUGCCUGAAAACUUCAUCCACCGGCUAUUUUUCUAAUAUAUAUAUAUAUUACGUGUGGAGAUUUACGUAUAUUUUACAUACAUAGGAACAGGCAUGUGCCAAAAGUUCCACCGAUUAUCAGCCCAGCAUCCCCAAACCGUAUAAUUGAUUUUCCGCCUCUUUAGCGGAGAUAUUUUUCAUAACAAUUGACCUGAGAAAUGGCAGUUUGUUCACAAGUAUUGAUUGCUGUAUGUAAAAAAAUUAUUACGUAUAUAAUAAUUAUUUACUCUGUCUGAAUUAAGCAUAUUUUGUAAUUUGCUGUGUUAUUUUCUUGAAGAACAAUAGAUGUUGUGGUAUUUGGAUGUGGAAUAUCAUAGUCAAUAGAAAAUGAAACACUAUUUUUUGUUAACUGAUUACACAUUUAUUCUUCCAUGAGGACAUAAAGUACAGUAGACGAAAUUUAUGGUGUCGUUGAGCUGAUGAAAAAUACAAUUAAAAUGUAAAAAAUUUGUAUACUCUGUACAUGUACUACACCAUGCUUUGUAAAGAACAUUUUUUGCAUUAUUAUAUUAUGUUUAUUGUAACGUAAAUAUGAUUACUGUAAUAUAAAAUGAGUUGGAAUUAAAA
rnacentral:misc_RNA from 1 species